rnacentral:rRNA from 1 species
UACGGGGGGGGCAAGCGUUGUUCGGAAUUACUGGGCGUAAAGGGCUCGUAGGCGGCCAACUAAGUCCGACGUGAAAUCCCCAGGCUUAACUUGGGAACUGCGUCGGAUACUGGUUGGCUUGAAUCCGGGAGAGGGAUGCGGAAUUCCAGGUGUAGCGGUGAAAUGCGUAGAUAUCAGGAGGAACACCAAUAGCGAAGGCAGCUCGCUGGGACGGUACUGACGCUAAGGCGCGAAAGCGUGGGGAGCGAACAGG